GACGAACGCUGGCGGCGUGCCUAACACAUGCAAGUCGAGCGGAGAUAUAUGGAAGGUUUACCGGAAAUAUAUCUUAGCGGCGGACGGGUGAGUAACGCGUGGGCAACCUGCCUCAUACAGGGGGAUAACACAGGGAAACUUGUGCUAAUACCGCAUGAAAUCAUAGUAUGGCAUCAUACAAUGAUCAAAGGAGCAAUCCGGUAUGAGAUGGGCCCGCGUCCGAUUAGCUAGUUGGUGAGGUAACGGCUCACCAAGGCGACGAUCGGUAGCCGAACUGAGAGGUUGAUCGGCCACAUUGGGACUGAGACACGGCCCAGACUCCUACGGGAGGCAGCAGGUGGGGAAUAUUGCGCAAUGGGGGAAACCCUGACGCAGCAACGCCGCGUGAAGGAAGAAGGCCUUCGGGUUGUAAACUUCUUUGAUAGGGGACGAUAAUGACGGUACCCUAAAAACAAGCCACGGCUAACUACGUG
rnacentral:rRNA from 1 species